UAUCUCUGUAGAGUCUGCAUAUCAAUAAGCGGAGGAAAAGAAACUAACUAGGAUUCCCUUAGUAACGGCGAGUGAAGCGGGAAGAGCUCAAAUUUGAAAUCUUCAAGGUUUUACCUUGACGAAUUGUAGUUUAAAGAAGUGUUUCCUGUUGGAUGUUUUGGUAAAAGUUCUUUGGAAUAGGACAUCAUAGAGGGUGAGAAUCCCGUAUUUGACCAUUACUUCCAGCUUUGUGAUACACUUUCAAAGAGUCGGAUUGUUUGGGAAUGCAGUCCAAAAUGGGUGGUAAAUUUCAUCUAAAGCUAAAUACUUGGCGAGAGACCGAUAGCGAACAAGUACCGUGAGGGAAAGAUGAAAAGAACUUUGAAAAGAGAGUUAAACAGUACGUGAAAUUGUCAAAAGGGAAGCGUUUGACACCAGUGUUGUUUUCUCGAAAAUCAAUUAAAAAAGGCAGGAUUUUGUGUUGUAUUGACUUUAUCAGCUUUCUGCACUCUUUUCUUGUCUUUUUUAAUGCACUUUUCGUUUAACAAGUCAACAUCAAUUUCUUUUGUUGUGAAAGGGUCAUUGGAAGGUGGCUUUCCUUUCGGAGGAAGUGUUUAUAGCCUUUGGCCUCUGCAAUCGGAGAGAUUGAGGUCUGCAGCGUAGAUCCUUCGGGGUUAGAUACAUUUGUGCUAAGUUAUAGCCUUUCAUAGACAACUUGUUGACUAUGAUCAGUCAUGUAGCUUACUUGCUUAUGCUAUUUUACCUACGCUUAGGAUUUGAAGUCAUCGUAUCGCGC
rnacentral:rRNA from 1 species